CAGUAGCCGCGGGAAUACGUAGGGUGCGAGCGUUGUCCGGAAUUACUGGGCGUAAAGAGCUCGUAGGUGGUUUGUCGCGUCGUUUGUGGAAUACCGCAGCUUAACUGCGGGGUUGCAGGCGAUACGGGCAUAACUUGAGUGCUGUAGGGGAGACUGGAAUUCCUGGUGUAGCGGUGAAAUGCGCAGAUAUCAGGAGGAACACCGAUGGCGAAGGCAGGUCUCUGGGCAUUAACUGACGCUGAGGAGCGAAAGCAUGGGGAGCGAACAGGAUUAGAUACCCCUGUAGUCCCUGUCUCUUAUU
rnacentral:rRNA from 1 species